rnacentral:hammerhead_ribozyme from 2 species
AUCCAGCUGACGUGUCCCAAAUAGGAAGAGACGCGCAUCCUGUAU